rnacentral:rRNA from 1 species
AUUGAACGCUGGCGGCAUGCUUUACACAUGCAAGUCGAACGGUAACAGGGAGCUUGCUCCGCUGACGAGUGGCGAACGGGUGAGUAACGCAUCGGAACGUACCCAGUCGUGGGGGAUAACGUAGCGAGAGUUACGCUAAUACCGCAUACGUCCUGAGGGAGAAAGCGGGGGACCGUAAGGCCUCGCGCGAUUGGAGCGGCCGAUGUCGGAUUAGCUAGUUGGUAGGGUAAAGGCCUACCAAGGCGACGAUCCGUAGCGGGUCUGAGAGGAUGAUCCGCCACACUGGGACUGAGACACGGCCCAGACUCCUACGGGAGGCAGCAGUGGGGAAUAUUGCACAAUGGGCGAAAGCCUGAUGCAGCAAUGCCGCGUGUGUGAAGAAGGCCUGCGGGUUGUAAAGCACUUCGGCCGGGAAGAAAUCGCACAGGUUAAUACCUGUGUGGAUGACGGUACCGGAA